ACCGACGGCCUUCAGAUUAUCUGGUCAUUGUUGUAAAAAACCGGGCAAUGACUGAGAAUAUCCGGUUAACGCGACCCCUGCCUACACUAGUUGCCAACGGUUGCCAACUGCUAGUAACGGAAGAAGAAGAGGAAAAACUUUGAGGCAACAACAACUUGGAUUUCACAGAUUUAUUUUUUGGGGAAUUUUGUCGCAGUCCAAGAUUUCAGAAAUUACUUCGGAGAGAAAGAGGAAGUGCCAGAGGGAGGGUGACAUCUGAAGAGAGAGAAAAGAGAUGCCAGAAGACAGGAGACUGGAGUCACAGUCGAAACUGUCGAGCAGAUUCUUGUAAAUUUGGAUGCUUGCUGAGACAAACCAGCCCCUCGUCCCUUCACCAGGGGUACCUACAGGCAGUGAUUCACAUCAGCAGCAGAAAGAUGAGGACAGAGGAUGAAUGACUGACACUGAC